rnacentral:lncRNA from 10 species
AAUCUAAGGGGAGAAAUAGGAGCGCACACAUGGGUCACCCAACGAAGCAAGGCGUCCCUGUGAACUGUGCGGCUGGCUCUUGGGGGCAACACCAGGGCUGACCUGAGGAAAGGGCAACCAGUACUCCCAGCGAUGACUUCGGGUCGGCGGAAGGAAAAGACCUGAGCGCUAAGAGCUUGGGAUACGGGUCAGGCCCAUCCUUAGGGGAAACCGGCUGGGAAGCGAGGGGGGGCGCAGGCCGAGCCGGAACGAGACACAGACCGGGCCCAGCCGCCCCGUCCACUGCCACCACCAACGCCGCCGCCAUCUUACACUGGCCAGCGGCCGCCACCACCACCGCCUCCGCUCUCUGCGCUUGCGCCUGCGCUGCCACGCUUUCCGGCCCCGUUUGCGACGAUGUGCUCGAGAAGACUGAGGGAAGAGUGGUCGCGCGAGCUCACGGCUCGCAACCCUCCUCGAAGGACGCACAAGGGGCGGGGCUUAAGGCCAACGGAAAACAGAGCGAGAGGCGCCUGCGCAUUACCGAAGAGGCAAAGUUGUUUUUGUAGUUUCUUCGGGCUUGCUUAUCUUGUGAUACUCUAAAC